AUUGAACGCUGGCGGCAGGCCUAACACAUGCAAGUCGAGCGGAUGAAGGGAGCUUGCUCCUGGAUUCAGCGGCGGACGGGUGAGUAAUGCCUAGGAAUCUGCCUGGUAGUGGGGGACAACGUUUCGAAAGGAACGCUAAUACCGCACACGUCCUACGGGAGAAAGCAGGGGACCUUCGGGCCUUGCGCUAUCAGAUGAGCCUAGGUCGGAUUAGCUAGUUGGUGGGGUAAAGGCUCACCAAGGCGACGAUCCGUAACUGGUCUGAGAGGAUGAUAAGUCACACUGGAACUGAGACACGGUCCAGACUCCUACGGGAGGCAGCAGUGGGGAAUAUUGGACAAGGGGCGAAAGCCUGAUCCAGCCAUGCCGCGUGUGUGAAGAAGGUCUUCGGAUUGUAAAGCACUUUAAGUUGGGAGGAAGAGUUGUAGAUUAAUACUCUGCAACUUUGACGUUACCGACAGAAUAAGCACCGGCUAACUCUGUGCCAGCCGCCGCCGUAACAC
rnacentral:rRNA from 1 species